rnacentral:lncRNA from 1 species
AGUCCUAUGAAUGACACUCAGGUUUAUACAUGGAAAGUGCUUUGUAGUUCAUGUAUUUAUCAAACAGUACGAAAAAAAGAAAAAAGAUGCAGUGUUUACAGGUGUCAGCUCUCAACACAUAAACACUACUAUUAAUCUUCAAAGCAUCUUCAUCCUUUUUUUUUUUUGUUUUGUUUUUUUGGUUGUUUUUUUGUUGUUGUUGUUUAUUCCCACAUUAUUUAAGUGGAACUCUCUUCCAGAUGCAGUUUUUGUCACCACGGUCCACAGCAUCAGGAAGGCAAAAGCUAGAGUGGCUCAAAGGGUGUCCUCUCUGGGUUCAAUGUAUGGAUUUAGAAGGCAGCUUGAUGAGAGCUUGAUGAGAUCCACGUUCACCCAAGUGGCCAAAGUACAAUGUCAACGCCAAGCACCGCGGCGCAGAGCCCCGUGCCCAUCCUGAAGCCAGCUUUUGCUGCUUUUGCUCUUCUGCAAGACCCCAGGUUGGGGGCAGAACCUCAGCCCUGAGCCUUGACAACCCCUUCUAUCCCCACAAACAUGGAUUUGGUGGCACUGAGCUUGCGAGAAAGCACAGAUUUGCUCCCUGCAUGCCAGGAGCGACGUUUAACUUGAUCCAUCCAACUUAGAGUAAGCUUGUUGGCAUCUCUUCUAUUCCUGCUCCCUCUUUAUCUCCAUUUGGGAAUGCUGUGAGGAGGGGAGGGAGCGCUUUGGGGUUGGGAACGGGGCCACGGGAAGGGGAGGGAGGGAUGAGCAUCCCCCAUUUUUUAGCCAUGCUGUUGGAAUUUCGGUCACCUCCAUGCUUUUUCUGUUGCUGGCCAUUCGAAUGAGGCGAGUUUCCCAUGCUGGGAAUACAACAGUGUUGUGGAUGUGCUGUUUUUUUCCUCUUCUGCGUCAGGUUUCGUUGCAUUCGUAACGUUCUAACACUACACAUGGACGAUGUUGUGCGUCUUCCAGGUACUGUAGUUCUGUAGGCAUUCCCUCUGCACUUCUCAUUGACUCCACAAACCUCACCAGAAGACAAGGACAGAAGCUGUGGAGGAGUGUAACACACGUCGGUCCAUUUUUAAAAAAAAAGGAAAGAAAGCAAAAAGAACAUAAAAACAGGUUUUAUAUUACUCUGAAAUUUGUGCACAAUAAAUGUUCUUUACACUAGGGUCCUUGAAUUAAU